rnacentral:rRNA from 1 species
GACGGAGGAUGCAAGCGUUAUCCGGAAUUAUUGGGCGUAAAGCGUCCGCAGGUGGACAUACAAGUCUGCUGUCAAAGUGCAGAGCUUAACUCUGUAAAGGCGGUGGAAACUGUAGGUCUUGAGUAUGGUAGGGGUAGGGGGAAUUCCCGGUGUAGCGGUGAAAUGCGUAGAUAUCGGGAAGAACACCAGUGGCGAAAGCGCUCUACUGGGCCAUAACUGACACUGAGGGACGAAAGCUAGGGGAGCGAAAGGG